CCUACGUGUGGCAGCAGUGGGGAAUAUUGGGCAAUGGUCGCAAGCCUGACCCAGCAACGCCGCGUGAAGGAAGAAGGCUUUCGGGUUGUAAACUUCUUUUCUGAGGGACGAAGAAAGUGACGGUACCUCAGGAAUAAGCCACGGCUAACUACGUGCCAGCAGCCGCGGUAAUACGGAGGUGGCAAUCGUUAUCCGGAGUGAUUGGGUGUAAAGGGCGUGUAGGCGGGAAAGAAAGUCCGAUGUGAAAACUCAGGGCUUCACCCUGGGCCUGCAUUUGAAACUGUUUUUCUUGAGUGCUGGAGGGGCAAUCGGAAUUCCGUGUGUAGCGGUGAAAUGCGUAGAUAUACGGAGGAACACCAGUGGCGAAGGCGGAUUGCUGGACAGUAACUGACGCUGAGGCGCGAAAGCGUGGGGAGCAAACAGGAUUAGAUACCCGAGUAGUC
rnacentral:rRNA from 1 species